rnacentral:sRNA from 1 species
AAAAAGGAAAAAAAAAAGUUAAA